rnacentral:misc_RNA from 1 species
CCAUCUGCCUUGCAUAUACUCGAAACUCAUCCAAACUCUUAUCAUCAACUUCACUGCUACCUUUCAUCUUCCUGUAUUCCUCCAACAUAUUUUCUACCUCAUCCCGGGACACCCAAUUUUUCUCUCUAAAUUCACCCAUCAACUUCUCCAGAUUUUCGCUUGUGCCACUCACUUCCUUCAACUUCAACUGCAAUUCCUCCACUUUAUCAUCCAUCUUCACACUCAAUUCAUCCCUCACAUUCCUAAUCCCCGUAUCCAGUUUUUGAUCAAUCACAUCAAUUUGCACUUGCAUCAUUUUCGUAGUUUUCUUAACAAACGACUCCAUUUCAGCGAAUUUCCCAUCGAAAUCCCCAGAAAUUACAGCGAGACCAUCAGAGUCGCUCGUUUGAUAGGAAUUCCCCACAAGUCUACGAACCAUCUGAACUAAACCAAUUAACACAAUCACCAACAAUAAAUUCUUAGUAACAACACUAACCACAGUCAACCACCUCGGCUUAGGCGUCUUGGUGUGCUUCUUCACUGCUGAUGCCGAACCGCUAGGGCGACGUGUAGAGGAUGUUGGAACAUUGGUAUGGGGCAAUGUUUUCUUCACCACUUGAAUCGCAUCUCUGCUAUCGCUUCUGUAGGAAACAUUUGGGGUGGAGAUUGGAUCCGCUGCCGCUGCCGCUGCCGCUG